UACGGAGGGGGCUAGCGUUGUUCGGAAUUACUGGGCGUAAAGCGUACGUAGGCGGCUUUGUAAGUUAGAGGUGAAAGCCCGGGGCUCAACCCCGGAAUUGCCUUUAAGACUGCAUCGCUUGAACGUCGGAGAGGUGAGUGGAAUUCCGAGUGUAGAGGUGAAAUUCGUAGAUAUUCGGAAGAACACCAGUGGCGAAGGCGGCUCACUGGCCCGGUACUGACGCUGAGGUGCGAAAGCGUGGGGAGCAAACAGG
rnacentral:rRNA from 1 species